rnacentral:rRNA from 1 species
AUUGAACGCUGGCGGCAUGCCUUACACAUGCAAGUCGAACGGCAGCAUGAUCUAGCUUGCUAGAUUGAUGGCGAGUGGCGAACGGGUGAGUAAUACAUCGGAACGUGCCCUGUAGUGGGGGAUAACUAGUCGAAAGAUUAGCUAAUACCGCAUACGACCUGAGGGUGAAAGUGGGGGACCGCAAGGCCUCAUGCUAUAGGAGCGGCCGAUGUCUGAUUAGCUAGUUGGUGGGGUAAAGGCCCACCAAGGCGACGAUCAGUAGCUGGUCUGAGAGGACGAUCAGCCACACUGGGACUGAGACACGGCCCAGACUCCUACGGGAGGCAGCAGUGGGGAAUUUUGGACAAUGGGGGCAACCCUGAUCCAGCAAUGCCGCGUGUGUGAAGAAGGCCUUCGGGUUGUAAAGCACUUUUGUCCGGAAAGAAAUCGCACUUACUAAUAUUAGGUGUGGAUGACGGUACCGGAAGAAUAAGAACCGGCUAACUACGUG